rnacentral:rRNA from 1 species
UGGGGAAUUUUGGACAAUGGGCGAAAGCCUGAUCCAGCAAUGCCGCGUGUGUGAAGAAGGCCUUCGGGUUGUAAAGCACUUUUGUCCGGAAAGAAAUCCUUGGCUCUAAUACAGUCGGGGGAUGACGGUACCGGAAGAAUAAGCACCGGCUAACUACGUGCCAGCAGCCGCGGUAAUACGUAGGGUGCAAGCGUUAAUCGGAAUUACUGGGCGUAAAGCGUGCGCAGGCGGUUUGCUAAGACCGAUGUGAAAUCCCCGGGCUCAACCUGGGAACUGCAUUGGUGACUGGCAGGCUAGAGUAUGGCAGAGGGGGGUAGAAUUCCACGUGUAGCAGUGAAAUGCGUAGAGAUGUGGAGGAAUACCGAUGGCGAAGGCAGCCCCCUGGGCCAAUACUGACGCUCAUGCACGAAAGCGUGGGGAGCAAACAGGAUUAGAUACCCUGGUAGUCCACGCCCUAAACGAUGUCAACUAGUUGUUGGGGAUUCAUUUCCUUAGUAACGUAGCUAACGCGUGAAGUUGACCGCCUGGGGGAGUACGGUCGCAAGAUUAAAA